GUAGUUCUAAUUCUUGCUAAUUAAAGAAAUGGAUGAAAGACUUUUACAUGAUGAUAAUGCGUACGGGCGGACAGAUUCAUAUUGUUGACUGUACACAUCUGAUUGUAUAAAAAGUUGGAUAUUUUCUAAGACUUAAUGUUGUGAAUCCCUGAGUAAAUGGUUUCUUCCUCCUCCUAGGAUUACUUCACAAGUUUCCCACGGCCUCCAAAAGACACCUAGAAUUCUUAUUACAUGAUGAGCAACUGUUUUCAACCAAGAACUGUGGUCUCAUGUCUUUGGUGGACAGUGGGGGGCAAGACUCCAGUGAAUUCAGAUAGAAUCCUACACAGCUGUUAACAAUUCAAGUUUACAAGUAUUAACUUGCAAAAUUCAACUUGGAUGAGCUAUGGUCCCAUUGCUUUACUGGAGCAGACAAGUGAAUUCAGAUUGAGUUUGAAAGGAGCAGAUAAUCCAGUUCUUCAGUUUGAAACUUCCAAGAUGGCAACUAAUCGUCAUGGAAUGCGGAGUUUUCAAGUAUUGCUAGAUCUUGAAAUGCUGAAUGUACUAUACACAUGGUAACUUUAACAUCCUACCAUUUUGUGAUUGAAGAAAUAAAUAUUUCAUAGUUA